GUGAGGAAUAUUGGUCAAUGGGCGAGAGCCUGAACCAGCCAAGUCGCGUGAAGGAAGAAGGAUCUAUGGUUCGUAAACUUCUUUUGCAGGGGAAUAAAGUGCAGGACGUGUCCUGUUUUGUAUGUACCCUGAGAAUAAGGAUCGGCUAACUCCGUGCCAGCAGCCGCGGUAAUACGGAGGAUCCGAGCGUUAUCCGGAUUUAUUGGGUUUAAAGGGUGCGUAGGUAGUUUGAUAAGUCAGCGGUGAAAGUUUGCAGCUUAACUGUAAAAAUGCCGUUGAAACUGUCGGACUUGAGUGUAAAUGAGGUAGGCGGAAUGCGUGGUGUAGCGGUGAAAUGCAUAGAUAUCACGCAGAACUCCGAUUGCGAAGGCAGCUUACUAAGCUACAACUGACACUGAAGCACGAAAGCGUGGGGAUCAAACAGGAUUAGAUACCCUGGUAGUCC
rnacentral:rRNA from 1 species